GAAGAGUAGCCCCCGCUCACCGCAACUAGAGAAAGCCUGCGCACAGCAACAAAGACCCAACGCAGCCAUAAAUAAAUAAAUUUAUUUAAAAAAGAGCACACCAAGUAAUGGGUAGAGGACCUUCUUUUUUUUAAUUUAAUUUGGCUGCACGGGGUCUUUAGUUGUGCAUACAAACUCUUAGUUGUGGCAUGUGAGAUCUAGUUCUCUGACCAGGGAUCGAAUACAGGCCCCCUACAUUGGGAGCACAGAAUCUUAGCCGUUGGACCACCAGGGAAGUUAGAGGACCUUCCUGACGGAGGAAAUAAGUAGUUUUGCAAAGUAGAACGAGGGUGAUGCUUUAUUAUUUGUACAUUGGUUUGAAUUGGACACAGAAGCUUCCCAACCUAGAUCUCUGAGUUGAACACAUGUUGGAAUGGUGGUGGCUACUGAGAACCUACAACAAGGAAGAAGAGGCAAUCAGGACCCUUAUCCUGCUUAACAGUUUUAUCUAUGGUUAGAUUUGGGUCUAAACAAAGAAGAUACAUUCCCUGUACUCCAUGAAUUUAAAAUCUAAUUUUAAACAUACUUUGAAAAUUAGACAUAACAUGAAUCAUUUUGUUCCACCUCUGUGAAGAAGGGCCAGCAAGAGUAGUUUAGGGUAUCGUGAAUUGCUGUGACUGUCAAGGUCUGGAGUUGCACUUUAUCUGGAUCAAUAUGGACAUGUUUACUUAGAAAAUAGUUCUGAGCCUAGUUGACGAUAAAACCCUAAGUACUUUAUUGUGCAUUUGUUCGUGUAUUAAAAAUUAUAAAAGCAGUGAAGACUUAAGGGAAGGGGAAUUUUAAUACACAUUUGUUCAUGUAUUAAAAAUUAUAAAAGCAGUGAAGACUUAAGGGAAGGGGAAUUUAAAAAUUGAGAAAGUCCUUUCUAUUUCUCUUUUAAUUCACAACUGGUUUAUAGAUGUGGCAUUUACAGAUUUUUUUCUUAAUGCGCUCAUUCUCACUUUAUUCUCUCUAUUGUAAGAAUUACUUUAAUUACUUUUAUACUGUAUAGAUGGGGAAAUGGAGACGCAGAUCUGGCUCAGGUCACAUAGCAAAGGAUUGGGAGUCAAAAACGUGAAUUCAGACCUCCUGAUAUUCUAUCCAAUAAUCUUUCACUGUCUUGUACUGCUUGGAGGUAUCUCUGUUUUCAUUUUGGUUUAAAGUUUUUCUUUUAGCUGUUUUAGGGUUUUUUUUAACAACAAUAAUACACAGUCAUUAAAAAUUUUUCAGAAAAUACAGAAAAGAAGAAUGAAGAGAGUAAGGAUAUAUUCCUGUAUAUAUAUGUUUAUAUAUCCUCCUAUAUUCUUACUGCCUAGAAAUCACUGCUAAUAUUUAACUAUAUCUGUCUUCAGACUUGUUUAAAUAUAUACAUUCACAGAUAUAUUUAUAGAUAGGGUUUUUUAAAUGAGAUCAAACUAUUCCUAAUUUUGUAACUUUUUCAUCUCAAAUAUAAUUUGCUGUCAGUAAAUAUCUAUGUCAUAAUUUGUUACAUAGAAUUGCAUUGUAUGAAUGUAUCAUUAUUUAGUUAGACUCCUACUGAUGGACUUCUAGGUGGUUUCCAAUUUUUUGCUAUUAUAAAUAAUGUGAUAAAAUCCCUAAUAUAUGAUUCCUUUUAUAUUUUCUGGUUACUUCUUUAAGAAAAAUUUCCAGGAAUAUCCAGUUACCAGGUCAAAAGCUGCAGAUAUGGCGAAAACUUUAGGCCACCAGAGGGCAUUGCAGUCAGCCUCCUUUAUCAUCACUAUAAAUCACUGCUGUCAGAGAUGCCUAGUGAAAAUUGUUCCCAGUUUAACCAAAAAGAGAAGCAUUCUUAGACUCCAUGAGCAGUCUGCAUAGGACCUGUGGCUUGAACUUGGUGGAGCGCUACCUUGAAGCACCCUUUUUAUCUAUAAAAGUGAAGAAUGGAGUAGGUAGUAUUUUGCUGAAAUUAUAUUCUUUUACUUUUUCCUUUCCCCAAGCCUAUGCCUAAACUUUUAAUUUGUCAUCCACAAUUUAUAAUCUUCUCUUGGCCAGAUAUUAAAGCUGGCAGCUCUCAAUCUCUAUAGAAACUGAAGGCAGAGAAACAAUGGACAGAGCCUUUGUCCAGUAGCAUCCACCUCUUUACUGGUCUUUACUGACACUAAUAAAAACUUGCAAAAUUGACUGAUCCGCA